UUUAUGGAGAGUUUCAUCCUGGCUCAGAGUGAACGCUGGCGGCGUGCCUAAUACAUGCAAGUCGAACGAUGAAGCUUCUAGCUUGCUAGAGUGCUGAUUAGUGGCGCACGGGUGAGUAACGCAUAGGUCAUGUGCCUCUUAGUUUGGGAUAGCCAUUGGAAACGAUGAUUAAUACCAGAUACUCCCUACGGGGGAAAGAUUUAUCGCUAAGAGAUCAGCCUAUGUCCUAUCAGCUUGUUGGUAAGGUAAUGGCUUACCAAGGCUAUGACGGGUAUCCGGCCUGAGAGGGUGAACGGACACACUGGAACUGAGACACGGUCCAGACUCCUACGGGAGGCAGCAGUAGGGAAUAUUGCUCAAUGGGGGAAACCCUGAAGCAGCAACGCCGCGUGGAGGAUGAAGGUUUUAGGAUUGUAAACUCCUUUUGUUAGAGAAGAUAAUGACGGUAUCUAACGAAUAAGCACCGGCUAACUCCGUGCCAGCAGCCGCGGUAAUACGGAGGGUGCAAGCGUUACUCGGAAUCACUGGGCGUAAAGAGCGCGUAGGCGGGAUAGUCAGUCAGGUGUGAAAUCCUAUGGCUUAACCAUAGAACUGCAUUUGAAACUACUAUUCUAGAGUGUGGGAGAGGUAGGUGGAAUUCUUGGUGUAGGGGUAAAAUCCGUAGAGAUCAAGAGGAAUACUCAUUGCGAAGGCGACCUGCUGGAACAUUACUGACGCUGAUUGCGCGAAAGCGUGGGGAGCAAACAGGAUUAGAUACCCUGGUAGUCCACGCCCUAAACGAUGGAUGCUAGUUGUUGGAGGGCUUAGUCUCUCCAGUAAUGCAGCUAACGCAUUAAGCAUCCCGCCUGGGGAGUACGGUCGCAAGAUUAAAACUCAAAGGAAUAGACGGGGACCCGCACAAGCGGUGGAGCAUGUGGUUUAAUUCGAAGAUACACGAAGAACCUUACCUAGGCUUGACAUUGAGAGAAUCCGCUAGAAAUAGUGGAGUGUCUGGCUUGCUAGACCUUGAAAACAGGUGCUGCACGGCUGUCGUCAGCUCGUGUCGUGAGAUGUUGGGUUAAGUCCCGCAACGAGCGCAACCCCCUUUCUUAGUUGCUAACAGGUUAUGCUGAGAACUCUAAGGAUACUGCCUCCGUAAGGAGGAGGAAGGUGGGGACGACGUCAAGUCAUCAUGGCCCUUACGCCUAGGGCUACACACGUGCUACAAUGGGGUGCACAAAGAGAAGCAAUACUGUGAAGUGGAGCCAAUCUUCAAAACACCUCUCAGUUCGGAUUGUAGGCUGCAACUCGCCUGCAUGAAGCUGGAAUCGCUAGUAAUCGCAAAUCAGCCAUGUUGCGGUGAAUACGUUCCCGGGUCUUGUACUCACCGCCCGUCACACCAUGGGAGUUGUGUUUGCCUUAAGUCAGGAUGCUAAAUUGGCUACUGCCCACGGCACACACAGCGACUGGGGUGAAGUCGUAACAAGGUAACCGUAGGUGAACCUGCGGCUGGAUCACCUCCUU
rnacentral:rRNA from 1 species